rnacentral:rRNA from 1 species
AUUGAACGCUGGCGGCAUGCCUUACACAUGCAAGUCGAACGGUAACAGGUCUUCGGAUGCUGACGAGUGGCGAACGGGUGAGUAAUACAUCGGAACGUGCCCGAUCGUGGGGGAUAACGAAGCGAAAGCUUUGCUAAUACCGCAUAAGAACUACGGAUGAAAGCAGGGGACCGCAAGGCCUUGCGCGAACGGAGCGGCCGAUGGCAGAUUAGGUAGUUGGUGGGAUAAAAGCUGACCAAGCCGACGAGCUGUAGCGGGUCUGAGAGGACGACCAGCCACACUGGGACUGAGCCACGGCCCAGACUCCUACGGGAGGCAGCAGUGGGGAAUUUUGGACAAUGGGCGAAAGCCUGAUCCAGCCAUGCCGCGUGCAGGAUGAAGGCCUUCGGGUUGUAAACUGCUUUUGUACGGAACGAAAAGACUCUUUCUAAUAAAGAGGGUCCAUGACGGUACCGUAAGAAUAAGCACCGGCUAACUACGUGCCAGCCGCCGCGGUAAGAC